rfam:Gossypium raimondii Chr05_contig_1357, whole genome shotgun sequence.
AGUUAAAAUUUUCAUCAAUUUCUACUGCUAAAAAGUAACAGAAUAAGUAGACAGUUACACGUGUUGUGCCACGUGUAUCUUAUGCCUACGUACAAGAACCUAUUUUUAGCAGUACAAAUAGAUGAAAUUUUUAACA